rnacentral:miRNA from 1 species
CUCAAGCUAGAUAACCGAAAGU